ACACGCUACAAUGGUCGACACAGAGGGCAGCGAAACCGCGAGGCGGAGCGAAUCUCACAAAGUCGAUCUCAGUUCAGAUUGCAGGCUGCAACCCGCCUGCAUGAAGUUGGAGUUGCUAGUAACCGCAGGUCAGCUACACUGCGGUGAAUACGUUCCCGGGCCUUGUACACACCGCCCGUCACGUCAUGGAAGCCGGCAACACUUGAAGCCGACGCGCCAACCUUCGGGAGGCAGUCGCCUAGGGUGGGGCUGGUAACUGGGACGAAGUCGUAACAAGGUAGCCGUAGCGGAAGCUGCGGCUGGAUCACCUCCUUU
rnacentral:rRNA from 1 species